ACGAACUCUGGUAUUGAUUGGUGCUUGCAUCAUGAUUUACAUUUGAGUGAGUGGCGAACUGGUGAGUAACACGUGGGAAACCUGCCCAGAAGCGGGGGAUAACACCUGGAAACAGAUGCUAAUACCGCAUAACAACUUGGACCGCAUGGUCCGAGUUUGAAAGAUGGCUUCGGCUAUCACUUUUGGAUGGUCCCGCGGCGUAUUAGCUAGAUGGUGGGGUAACGGCUCACCAUGGCAAUGAUACGUAGCCGACCUGAGAGGGUAAUCGGCCACAUUGGGACUGAGACACGGCCCAAACUCCUACGGGAGGCAGCAGUAGGGAAUCUUCCACAAUGGACGAAAGUCUGAUGGAGCAACGCCGCGUGAGUGAAGAAGGGUUUCGGCUCGUAAAACUCUGUUGUUAAAGAAGAACAUAUCUGAGAGUAACUGUUCAGGUAUUGACGGUAUUUAACCAGAAAGCCACGGCUAACUACGUGCCAGCAGCCGCGGUAAUACGUAGGUGGCAAGCGUUGUCCGGAUUUAUUGGGCGUAAAGCGAGCGCAGGCGGUUUUUUAAGUCUGAUGUGAAAGCCUUCGGCUCAACCGAAGAAGUGCAUCGGAAACUGGGAAACUUGAGUGCAGAAGAGGACAGUGGAACUCCAUGUGUAGCGGUGAAAUGCGUAGAUAUAUGGAAGAACACCAGUGGCGAAGGCGGCUGUCUGGUCUGUAACUGACGCUGAGGCUCGAAAGUAUGGGUAGCAAACAGGAUUAGAUACCCUGGUAGUCCAUACCGUAAACGAUGAAUGCUAAGUGUUGGAGGGG
rnacentral:rRNA from 2 species